rnacentral:rRNA from 1 species
CGUGCAGGCGGGCCUGCAAGUCUGAUGUGAAAGCCCCGGGCUCAACCUGGGAAGUGCAUCGGAAACUGCGGGUCUUGAGUUCUGGAGAGGAAGGGGGAAUUCCCGGUGUAGAGGUGAAAUUCGUAGAGAUCGGGAGGAAUACCAGUGGCGAAGGCGCCCUUCUGGACGGCAACUGACGCUGAGACGCGAAAGCGUGGGGAGCAAACAGGAUUAGAUACCCUGGUAGUCCACGCUGUAAACGAUGAGCACUAGGUGUAGCGGGUACUCAUUCCUGCUGUGCCGCAGCUAACGCGUUAAGUGCUCCGCCUGGGGAUUACGGUCGCAAGACUAAA